CACCAAAGACUGCAGUUUCCACCUCAAAAAUUUUCUACAGCAUAAAUUCCUAAAGAUUUAACAGCAUGUCUCAAUCGGUACAGAGGAAUCCUGUUCAUGGCCCUAACUCCUGGCACCAAAGCAGCGAUUUUCCAGAAUGGCAACUCUUGAAAUGCAGAAAACCCCACUUCGAAUUCUGUGAAGAAGGACUCCUGACAGAACAGGAAAAGUCACUGCGACCUUCUCGCUCGACUCUCACAUUCCAGGUAUCAGAGAGCUCACAAGACUGACCGUAAGAAGCUUUCUCUGGCGUUAAAAGGACUGUACAAUUUAAUAUAAUGCUCUUAGUUCUUUCUCCAAAUUGUAUUUUCUUCACGUA